AUACUUUGGUUUCUCUUCAAAACAAAUAAAUAUUUUGCCUUUUACCAAAGAUUCCCACGGAGAGAAACAAUUAUGACUUAGUAACCAAAUUUUUUGAGGUGUUGCUCAGGCAAGGCU
rnacentral:snRNA from 1 species